UACAGGGGGGGCAAGCGUUGUUCGGAAUUACUGGGCGUAAAGGGCGCGUAGGCGGGAUGGCAAGUCGGUCGUGAAAUCCUUCGGCUCAACCGAAGAACGUCGAUCGAUACUGCUGUUCUUGAGGGUUGCAGAGGAGACUGGAAUUCCCGGUGUAGCGGUGAAAUGUGUAGAGAUCGGGAGGAACACCGGUGGCGAAGGCGGGUCUCUGGGCCGAAAUUGACGCUGAGGAGCGAAAGCGUGGGGAGCAAACAGG
rnacentral:rRNA from 1 species